CUCCAGCUCAGCCCUCACAGGCCAUGGGCAGGCUGACAUUUUGUGCAGCUCCUCUUUGGCAACCAGGCUUGAAAUAACAGCAAAGGAAGAUCUUUGACCCUGGCUGAUAUUGCAUAUAACUAGAUGCACUUCUGAAAAUGCAGAGUUUUCACUGGCACAAUAUUGGAGAGGAGGAGGCAAGACAGAAAGAAAUUUUUAAUAUGAAAAGGACAGGAAGAAGUAGUUUGUGGCAAACAAGGAAGACAAACCUGAAUCCUUUGCUGCAUCCUUCCUCCUGUUUAAGAAGAUUUGUGAUUCUACAUCUAAAUCCAAAAACUUUCCACGUGGCCCUGCACAGGUCCCCCCACAAGGCAGGACGGUGGCACACGUGGAGCUCUGUGGGAUUGCUCUGCAGCUGCUCAAAAAGCAAAACCAGCACAAGUUCUCAGCUUGCUCCUCCUACUUGGUGA
rnacentral:lncRNA from 1 species